rnacentral:misc_RNA from 1 species
GAUGAAGAACGUAGCGAAAUGCGAUAAGUAAUGUGAAUUGCAGAAUUCAGUGAAUCAUCGAAUCUUUGAACGCACCUUGCGCCUUUUGGUAUUCCGAAAGGCACACCUGUUUGCGCGUCAUGAAUACCUCAAUCUCCAUCUUUUCUUCGGAUUGAUGGGUGACUUGGAUGUUGAGCCCUGCUGGUAUGCUAUAUCAGCUGGCUUUAAACUUAUUAGCCGGCUCUGUACUGGAUCGGUUUGACUCGACGUGAUAAUAUUAUCGUUGAGGAUGCAUGUCUCAUGCAGCCGGAAAGUAUCAAAGCAGCUUCUAGCUUGCCUUUAGUGCACUUUUACAUUUUAGACCUCAGAUCAGGUGGGACUACCCGCUGAACUUAAGCAUAUCAAUAAGCGGAGGA